UACGGAGGGUGCAAACGUUGCUCGGAAUCAUUGGGCGUAAAGCGCACGUAGGUGGCUUGUUAAGUCGGGUGUGAAAUCCCUGGGCUCAACCCAGGAAGUGCACUCGAAACUGGCGAGCUUGAGUACUGAAGAGGGUCGCGGAAUUCCCGGUGUAGAGGUGAAAUUCGUAGAUAUCGGGAGGAACACCAGUGGCGAAGGCGGCGACCUGGGCAGAUACUGACACUGAGGUGCGAAAGCGUGGGGAGCAAACAGG
rnacentral:rRNA from 1 species